AUUGAACGCUGGCGGCAGGCCUAACACAUGCAAGUCGAGCGGAUCGGCUGACGGGUGAGUAAUGCCUAGGAAUCUGCCUGGUAGCGGGGGAUAACGUCCGGAAACGGGCGCUAAUACCGCAUACUAUCAGAUGAGCCUAGGCCGGAUUAGCAAGUUGGUGGGGUAAAGGACUACCAAGGCCACGAUCCGUAACUGGUCUGAGAGGAUGAUCAGUCAGACUGGGACUUAGACACGGUCCAGACUCCUACGGGGAGCAGCAGUGGGGAAUAGUGGACAAUUGGCGAAAGCCAGAUGCAGCCAUGCCGCGUGUAUGAAGAAGGUCUUCGGAUUGUAAAGCACUUUAAGUUGGGAGGCGUUACCGACAGAAUAAGCACCGGCGAACUCCGUGCCAGCAGCCGCGGUAAUAC
rnacentral:rRNA from 1 species